GGCUACUUGGCGCAAUGGUAGCGCGUUUGGCUUCGAUUGCCUACGGUUACCGUACCAAAAGGUUGCAGGUUCGAGUCCUGCAGUGGUCA
rnacentral:tRNA from 1 species